rnacentral:miRNA from 14 species
GUGCCCGGAACUUUGUCUCAGCCU